UGGGGAAUAUUGGACAAUGGGCGAAAGCCUGAUCCAGCCAUGCCGCGUGAAUGAUGAAGGCCCUAGGGUUGUAAAGUUCUUUCAACGGUGAAGAUGAUGACGGUAGCCGUAGAAGAAGCCCCGGCUAACUCCGUGCCAGCAGCCGCGGUAAUACGGAGGGGGCGAGCGUUGUUCGGAAUUACUGGGCGUAAAGGGCGUGUAGGCGGACUGUUAAGUUAGGGGUGAAAUCCCAGGGCUCAACCCUGGAACUGCCUCUAAUACUGGCGGUCUUGAGAUUUGGAGAGGUGUGUGGAAUUCCUAGUGUAGAGGUGAAAUUCGUAGAUAUUAGGAAGAACACCAGUGGCGAAGGCGGCACACUGGCCAACAUCUGACGCUGAGGCGCGAAAGCGUGGGGAGCAAACAGG
rnacentral:rRNA from 1 species